AUUUAGAUCAACUCUCAUUAUAAAACACACAAUAUUUAAACCAAAAAGAUGUAAAUCAAAGGAUAUAAAAUACAAUAUUACAACAACAAAAUACAUGCAUUUUCGGUGCACUUGCUUUUCUAUCUCCAACACAAAUUAGUUCUCUGUCAGAGUUACGAUAGGUAUCGUAGCUCUGAGCGAUCUGCGACAGGUUUACGAUAGUUUCGAAAAUCUAUCUUAUCUUAACCUUAAGAUAUCUUAUCUUUGAACGUAAGUUGUUAAGAUUUAUCUUAGCUAAGAUCAUUUAAAAAAUCUAGGCCCUGAGAGUGAAGAAGGCUUAACACAACAUCUGUAUCAUCUGAGGGGUAAGAAGGCUUGACAAAGCAGCUGUAUGACCUGAGAGAUAAGAAGGCUUCACACAACAGCUGUAGCUGUAUAACCUGAGAGGGGACCCCACAGAGCGGAGGAACAUAGCCCUGCAGGAGCCCGAGGUGGUCGCUAAGCUGAAACUCAAGAUUAACCAGUACCGUAAUUUGAUGGUCCCUGACAAUGUUCACCAUCAGCUGAACCAGUUCUCCACGGCGGCGUGUGGUCCCCAGGAUGGUGCUGAUAUCACCAUUUCCCAUAAAGUCUCCUGAUGUCCUGUCCCCCGAUACAUAGUCCCUGAUGUCCCUUGUGAGUCUCUGGUGGCCCUGAAAUAUGUUCUUGGUGUCAUCUGAUAUCCCCGGUGCGUUCGUAUGGCCUGCCCCCUAUAGGCCCAGAUGACCUAGUCCCUGUUGACGUAUGUUCCUGGUGCCAUCUGAUAUCCCCGAUGCCUUCUCAUGACCUGCCCCCUAUAGCCCCAGAUGACCUAGAUCCUGUUGACGUAUGUUCUUGGUGUCAUCUGAUAUCCCCGAUGUCUUCUCAUGACCGACCCCCUAUAGCUCCAGAUGACCUGGUUCCUGAUGACGUAUGUUCUUGGAGUCAUCUGAUAUCCCCGAUGUCUUCUCAUGGCCGGCCCCUGAUGGCCUAAUGACCCUGGAAACCCCUGCUCAUUAUGCACUGAGACAAGCGUGGGCCUUCUGUUGAGCGAGAUAAAGAUGUCUAGAGAGGGAAAAUGGACCUACUGUCCUGUUUGUCCCCGAAUAAAAGCGAUACUGUUUGAA